UACGGGGGGGGCAAGCGUUGUUCGGAAUUACUGGGCGUAAAGGGCUCGUAGGCGGCCAACUAAGUCGGAUGUGAAAUCCCCAGGCUUAACCUGGGAACUGCAUCCGAUACUGGAUGGCUUGAAUUCGGGAGAGGGAUGCAGAAUUCCAGGUGUAGCGGUGAAAUGCGUAGAUAUCUGGAGGAACACCGGUGGCGAAGGCGGCAUCCUGGACCGGUAUUGACGCUGAUGCGCGAAAGCCAGGGGAGCAAACGGA
rnacentral:rRNA from 1 species